rnacentral:rRNA from 1 species
GACGUACCUCUGGUGUUCCGGUUGUCACGCCAGUGGCACCGCCGGGUAGCUAUGUGCGGACGAGAUAACCGCUGAAAGCAUCUAAGCGGGAAGCUUUUCCCAAGAUAAGGUCUCACCGGGGACUUGAUCCCCCUGUAGGGCCCUCGAAGACGACGAGGUUGAUAGGCCGGAUGUGGAAGCGCGGUAACGCGUGAAGCUGACCGGUACUAAUUGCCCGUGAGGCUUGACCAU